AGAGUUAAUUAGGUAAAAGCACAUCUUUUCCCUCCCUGGGACUUUAGAACUUAAAUGAGGAAAUUUAGUAUAAAUGCUCAUAAGACAAAUACACUAUAGUUUUCAUAGGUGGUCAGGAAUUUUUGGUAAGUUGGGGUUGUAUCUUCUGUUUUUAAUUUAUGACUGAUUUUGUGCGUUUAGCUGUGUUGCCCACUGUGCCUGAGUCACCAGAAGAGGAAGUGAAGGCUAGCCAACUUUCAGUUCAGCAGAACAAAUUGUCUGUCCAGUCCAAUCCUUCCCCUCAGCUGCGGAGCGUUAUGAAAGUAGAAAGUUCCGAAAAUGUUCCUAGCCCCACGCAUCCACCAGUUGUAAUUAAUGCUGCAGAUGAUGAUGAAGAUGAUGAUGAUCAGUUUUCUGAGGAAGGUGAUGAAACCAAAACACCUACCCUGCAACCAACUCCUGAAGUUCACAAUGGAUUACGAGUGACUUCUGUCCGGAAACCUGCAGUCAAUAUAAAGCAAG
rnacentral:sRNA from 1 species